UACGAAGGGGGCUAGCGUUGUUCGGAAUUACUGGGCGUAAAGCGCACGUAGGCGGAUAUUUAAGUCAGGGGUGAAAUCCCGGGGCUCAACCCCGGAACUGCCUUUGAUACUGGGUAUCUUGAGUUCGAGAGAGGUGAGUGGAAUUCCGAGUGUAGAGGUGAAAUUCGUAGAUAUUCGGAGGAACACCAGUGGCGAAGGCGGCUCACUGGCUCGAUACUGACGCUGAGGUGCGAAAGCGUGGGGAGCGAACAGG
rnacentral:rRNA from 1 species